GAAAAUGUUAUUUGCUCAGCUCUCUGAUUCCUAUACUUGCCAGCAGCAAUCACGACCGCCAGCACCAAAAGGACAGAGGGAGUCUGGGUCAGCCCUGCUUUAUGCAAAACAAGCCUCUCACUCUAUCGCCCAGGCUGGAGUGCGGUGGCAUGAUCUCAGCUCACCGCAACCUCCACCUGCCGGGUUCAAGUGAUUCCUGUGAACCACCGUGCCUGGCCUAUUUUCAUUAUCUUGACUGUGGUCAUGGUUUCACGGGUGUAUAUGUAUGUCAAAUC
rnacentral:lncRNA from 1 species